UACAGAGGGUGCAAGCGUUAAUCGGAAUUACUGGGCGUAAAGCGCGCGUAGGUGGUUUGUAAGUAGGGUGUGAAAGCCCCCGGCCCAACCGGGGAAUUGCGCCCUAAACUGCAAGGCUGGAGUGAGGUAGGGGUGUGUGGAACUUCCAGUGGAGCGGUGAAAUGUGUUGAUAUUGGAAGGAACGCCGGUGGCGAAAGCGACACACUGGACCUUGUCUGACGCUGAGGCACGAAAGCCAGGGGAGCAAACGGG
rnacentral:rRNA from 1 species